rnacentral:rRNA from 1 species
UACGUAGGAGGCUAGCGUUGUCCGGAAUCAUUGGGCGUAAAGCGCGUGUAGGCGGCCCGGUAAGUCCGCUGUGAAAGUCCAGGGCUCAACCCUGGGAUGCCGGUGGAUACUGUCGGGCUCGAGUCCGGAAGAGGCGAGUGGAAUUCCUGGUGUAGCGGUGAAAUGCGCAGAUAUCAGGAGGAACACCAAUGGCGAAGGCAGCUCGCUGGGACGUGACUGACGCUGAGGAGCGAAAGCGUGGGGAGCGAACAGG